CACCGCGGCCAUACGAGUGUGCCCAAGCGGACAGUCUGUCGGCGUAAAGCGUGGUUAGGGAUAAAUUAUUAACUACUAAAGCUAAACCCCAUCAAGGCCGUAAUACGCACCCGAUGAUGUGAGACCCAACCACGAAGGUGGCUUUAAACAAACCCGAACCCACGAGAGCCGAGAAA
rnacentral:rRNA from 1 species